rnacentral:lncRNA from 1 species
CAUGGCUGAAGGGAUGACUUUCUGGAUAAAAGUUGGAGACUAGAGUCGAUACGACAACAAGGCCAUCCUUUCCAUUCAAAAUAUGACAAGAUCAUCUUGGGAUCGGGGGUGGCAGGCAGCCAGCUGUCAAGGCAACAUUUUGAACUUUUAACCUAGGAUUUAUACUGAGAAGGACUACCUCGAUGAAAUAUCAGGGAAGUCCUCAGGACCUGACUGCUGGCACUGCUAACCCUCAGUCUAAUUGUGUAGGGUC